ACAUAGCCCCGAUUGCAGCGGUUACCCCACAGCAAGCCUUGGAAGAUGCGGGCGUGCGAGGAGUAUAAGCGGAAAGCGGGAUUAAGC
rnacentral:misc_RNA from 1 species